rnacentral:rRNA from 1 species
GGGAAACUCACCAGGUCCAGACAUAACUAGGAUUGACAGAUUGAUAGCUCUUUCUUGAUUUUAUGGGUGGUGGUGCAUGGCCGUUCUUAGUUGGUGGAGUGAUUUGUCUGGUUAAUUCCGAUAACGAACGAGACCUUAACCUGCUAAAUAGUCAGGCUGGCUUUUGCUGGUCGCAGACUUCUUAGAGGGACUAUCAGCGUCUAGCUGAUGGAAGUUUGAGGCAAUAA